rnacentral:rRNA from 2 species
CUCCUACGGGAGGCAGCAGUGGGGAAUUUUGGACAAUGGGCGAAAGCCUGAUCCAGCCAUGCCGCGUGAGUGAAGAAGGCCUUCGGGUUGUAAAGCUCUUUUAGUCGGAAAGAAAGAGUUGCAAUGAAUAAUUGUGAUUUAUGACGGUACCGACAGAAAAAGCACCGGCUAACUACGUGCCAGCGCCGCGGUAA